CCUCCUCGAGCUCGACACCCGCAGCGGAGGGAUUUCGGCGCUGCCACCGCACAGGCUCUCCGACAAGGAGCUCUGUCGGGUACACAUGUGCAGCAUACUCCGUCCGUGGGGCCAGGCAUAUGAGAUGGAUGCGCUUAGUACUGUCCAUCUACAUGGAGGUGUAGAUCAAUAUACUGUACUUGGCACGACAGCUGCAGAUUAUGCGUUGAGAAAAUAACAACACGAUAGGAGAUCACCAGAUGUAAUUUCUUAUGGAGGAGAGCUAUGUCCGGCGGAGUACUAUAGCUGGAGAAAUGCCACCACAUAAAUGUUCAUGAUUCUGAGAACAUAUCAUGGUAAUAAGAUCAGUAGCACAUAUUUAUUUAUGUUGCCUCACCAGACAUCCGAGUUUGUCGGUACCAACUAUCCAGUGUUGUGAGCGCUGGUGGGGGUGAUGAAGACAGAUUUGUCCAGUGAGAUCUGGGCGCUCGUGGACAGAACAAGUGAUGGUCGACAAAGGAUUGCAGAAGUGGAAUUCAAGCCAGGUAGCGCCAGGGAGAGAAUGCAGUUGAGAAGAGGAGGCAAACACAGGCAACACAUGUAAAUAUAACGGCUAAAAGCAUCACCCAUAAAUCUGAGCGUAAUGGUCAUAAUACCUGUGGAGAUGGCAGAGUAAGGCAGAAUGCUAGGAGGGAGGCAUGAGGUGAGGAAGAGCGCCGCUGCUGACGAUGCCAAUGUGCGUUGACUGUGUCACGCAUGCGGUGUGCCUGGAUCACCGCGUCCAGCGUCCAUCCACCUAUACCGACCACAAUGUUGGGAGCAACCACCGCUCUCCUCUUCCUCCUCCGAGGUAACCAUUCAUAGUUUCUGCAUCAUACCUGCAGAGCCAAGUAAGAAAAGAAGCUUCACAAUUGAAAUCAUUCGUGCCUAUCACACAGUAGGAAAUACCAUACAACUAAAGAUCGAGGGACAUCAACAUGCAUUCUCUUGGGCAAAUGAUUGACAGACUCUUUCAGGAUAUCGGUGAAUUGAAUGUCGAAUUUAACCACAAUACUAAUAUGUAAGUAUUCCCACCCUGAUAGGCUAGACAAAUUAGAAGAACAUGAUAUAGGCAGUACAAACCAGAGAAUUGCUUCUCCAUGUUUUCGACAUAACAAUACAUAAAGUAUUUAGUCUUGAACACUGGACACCAUUUAGCGUCUUAAGCGGGCCAACAUACCGAACAAAAGUAAAAGGUUUGUUAGGUAUAAAACCAAAUUCAGAUAUUUGUUUCGCAUAAUGUUUUCCUCACCUGCAAUUGCAAACAUCACCAGACCAUCUACAAUCACUAAUUGCCUUAUUGAGUAGAUGGGUAGAUUAAUUGCAAAUUGUUUCACACUCAAUUUUGUUCUGUGUGGUUAGUGGAACCGAAGUGAUAAACAAACUGAAGCGUUGGUUCUGUGUGGUUACUGGAACGUGUUUAUAGACUUGAAUCCUCAGACGACAUACUUUUACUACUGAAUGUCAUCCUUACCUAACUAAGAAACACUAUGUUUUUUGUGUCAAGUAGUUAUAUGUAUUCACUCAUCGGCGUUUUACUACAAGUAGGCCAAGUAAUGGUUGCAAUUCAAGGAACAAAUUACUACUUAGCACAACACCUAACUGGAAUCAAACACAUCAGUUCCAACAGAUAGGGAUAUCAUGUGACCUUAAUUUGAUCUCUUUGACAUAAUCUCGACAACAAGUCCUUCAGUUGAUAUAUUCUCUGUGUAUGAGAUCCUUAAACACCAUUGUAUAUGUGAUAAGAAGGAUGAUGGAAGCGCAUACUAAACCAAGUCAAAGUAGCAGAAUGCAUUAUCUGAUCCUGCAUUUUUUGAGGUGACAUUAUUUAGCUGAACUGAGAAAUCACCCUUGGUCUCUGCUUUUGAUUUGACAAAAAGAUUCCUAAACUUUCAUCUGCAGAUACGUUUAGCAUAGUCUCUAACUUUGUUUCAAUCCUGAUCUGGAGAUUUAAACAAUUAUCUUGCCAAUUCACUUCACAUGCAAUGCAAACAAACUAAGAGUAUUUUUUUGGAGCCAACUAACCGUAUCUUUUGAGGUGUCAUUAUUUGGACCUGUCUGGUGGAGCCAUUUUAUUUCCCCACUACUGGCAAACUGAUCAAAUAACCCAAGUGUGCUUCCCAUAGAGAUUUCCGUCAACACUCCAGCCUGUGAGUCUCACCUCAAACCGGACAGAGUACCAUCACGAACUGCACAAGAACAGUUUCCAGACCAACAAGGUGAGUUCCUCCAAAGAAUAAAGUUGCAAACAUUGUGGGAAACAAAAUAAGGUAUUCAAGGGACUUGAUUAGGUAUUUCUAAUUCCUCAGAUCAAGUUGUUA